GGCUUCGUAGCUUAACUGAUAGAGCAUCUGACUACGGAUCAGAAGGUUGGGGGUUUGAAUCCCUCCGAAGUCA
rnacentral:tRNA from 1 species